AUGCGUUGUUGGGUAGGGGAGCGUUCUGUAAGCCUGUGAAGGUGUGCUGUGAGGCAUGCUGGAGGUAUCAGAAGUGCGAAUGCUGACAUAAGUAACGAUAAAGCGGGUGAAAAGCCCGCUCGCCGGAAGACCAAGGGUUCCUGUCCAACGUUAAUCGGGGCAGGGUGAGUCGACCCCUAAGGCGAGGCCGAAAGGCGUAGUCGAUGGGAAACAGGUUAAUAUUCCUGUACUUGGUGUUACUGCGAAGGGGGGACGGAGAAGGCUAUGUUGGCCGGGCGACGGUUGUCCCGGUUUAAGCGUGUAGGCUGGUUUUCCAGGCAAAUCCGGAAAAUCAAGGCUGAGGCGUGAUGACGAGGCACUACGGUGCUGAAGCAACAAAUGCCCUGCUUCCAGGAAAAGCCUCUAAGCAUCAGGUAACAUCAAAUCGUACCCCAAACCGACACAGGUGGUCAGGUAGAGAAUACCAAGGCGCUUGAGAGAACUCGGGUGAAGGAACUAGGCAAAAUGGUGCCGUAACUUCGGGAGAA
rnacentral:rRNA from 1 species